GAUGAACGCUGGCGGCGUGCCUAAUACAUGCAAGUCGAGCGAACGGACGAGAAGCUUGCUUCUCUGAUGUUAGCGGCGGACGGGUGAGUAACACGCGGAUAACCUACCUAUAAGACUGGGAUAACUUCGGGAAACCGUAGCUAAUACCGGAUAAUAUUUUGAACCGCAUGGUUCAAAAGUGAAAGACGGUCUUGCUGUCACUUAUAGAUGGAUCCGCGCUGCAUUAGCUAGUUGGUAAGGUAACGGCUUACCAAGGCAACGAUGCAUAGCCGACCUGAGAGGGUGAUCGGCCACACUGGAACUGAGACACGGUCCAGACUCCUACGGGAGGCAGCAGUAGGGAAUCUUCCGCAAUGGGCGAAAGCCUGACGGAGCAACGCCGCGUGAGUGAUGAAGGUCUUCGGAUCGUAAAACUCUGUUAUUAGGGAAGAACAUAUGUGUAAGUAACUGUGCACAUCUUGACGGUACCUAAUCAGAAAGCCACGGCUAACUACGUG
rnacentral:rRNA from 1 species